GGAAGAUUCCCUCAGCCAAUCACUGACUGAGAUAGGACACCGCUGUGACCAGUGAUUGACUGAGACGAGCAGGAAGAAGGAUAACUAGGAGAGAAUUUUUUUCAUGUCACAUAGGGAGCUGCAAGUGACCGGAGUAGGACGAGGAGCGAGUUCAUCAGUGCUUGAAGAUUUAUUUUGGUGGUAUACAGACUCAUGUCCUCGCUGAGUUAAAGCACGGAGAGGAUCCUUACUGGUGGCUUUUGGAGACGUUUCAUCUGAGGAUGCCCGAAAAUUACCCACAGCAUGAACUCAGGACAUUGCCCUAUGGGACUUGGUCAGGUCUGACAACAGGACAGGUCAGUUUGCAGAAUGCUGGAAAUUCCCGAUGAAUAAAAGGACCGUAUAAUUGGACAAUCAUAUUAAUACAAGAUAUGCCCCAGUUUUGCCUGACAGUGUAAACGGUGAUUCUCUGUUGCUAAGAUGCAGGCAUGGUUGCUUGGUUACUGUUGACAGAUAUCUACCUGGUGAACACUUUGGCACAUGAGGUCCAGUCCAGCUAGAAUGUUUGGGAAAAAGAAAAAGGAAGUCCAGGCUCAAUAUGUGUAGUGCAUGCCAGCAGCUUCUUCCUGAUGCAGGAUACUGAUGCUUCCUGUGGGAUGUGGAGGAUUUUUAUCUUCAUGCUGAAAAGCUUUUUGUCUGGAUUUAAAUAACAAUUUACUAAAACCUUUUUACAUGUUUGGACACAUAAAGCCUCGAAAGACUGUCAAAGGCUAAAGAGCAAUUAUCCUAGUCAAACUAUACCUCCUUCUUCUUUGAUGUACUUUCUGAAGGAGAAGUUAAUCUGAGGAUUGUGAGGAGGGACUUCUAAUGAGUGUUAUAUUCUUCACAAAGGCAAAAUCUCGAGUUUAAUAAAGACUAUAGAAUCAAACAAACAAUAAAUACAAAGCUGUCCAUAUACUUUCGAAAGCUUACUGCUGACAGCUAUUCUUAAUGAACCCCGUUCAUGUAUUGCCAAUGCAAAGAGGGGAGUAACUCUGUCCAUAAUAAAUGAUUUUGGUCAUUUUGGCUGACCAUUGUAUGUAAAUUACAUGCAGAUGAUCAUUCUGUAUGACCAAUGGAAGAUUAAGAAGAAAAAUAAGGAGUUUUUUUUUAAAUUGAUAGUGGAUCCUGCAUGUCACCCAGUCAGAGGUUAUAUGCCCAGCAGAGGUGAGUUGAAUUAGCUUGUUAGGGUCCCAUCUGAAGUGAGGCCACCUCCGCUAAGAGCCUCCAUUUACAGUGGGGAAAAAAGGAUUUAGUCAGCCACGAAUUGUGCAAGUUCUCCCACUUAAAAAGAUGAGAGAGGCCUGUAAUUUUCAUCAUAGUGUGACACUGUGGCAAGGGAAGGGUGUAUUUUCCUAGCUAACCCUGGAGAAACCUCCACCUGUGGCCUAAUUAAUGAGGUAGCAGAAAGGGGAAGUGUGUUUAAAAGGAAGUCGGACAGAAUAGUUGG